rnacentral:rRNA from 2 species
UACGUAGGGUGCAAGCGUUGUCCGGAAUUACUGGGCGUAAAGAGCUCGUAGGUGGUUUGUCGCGUCGUCUGUGAAAUCCCGGGGCUUAACUUCGGGCGUGCAGGCGAUACGGGCAUAACUUGAGUGCUGUAGGGGAGACUGGAAUUCCUGGUGUAGCGGUGAAAUGCGCAGAUAUCAGGAGGAACACCGAUGGCGAAGGCAGGUCUCUGGGCAGUAACUGACGCUGAGGAGCGAAAGCAUGGGUAGCGAACAGG